rnacentral:lncRNA from 1 species
CCGGAAGACCCACUGCACAGAAGGCCUGCAUGGUAGUGAGCCUCACAAUAGAUCAGCAUCAAAGUAGAGGAAAGAAAUUCCAGAAAAGAUGCAAAAACCACCAGGCAGACAGAAACAUUAGAGUUAGAAGACGUGUUUGGCAAACACAGACUUAGCCUUAAUGAUUUCCUUCUGUUUCAGAGAUGAAGAAAUGAGAAAUCCAGAAACCAAAGACCUUGCUCUUUUGUCAAACAGACUUGGUAGAGCAGAGUUGCAAAAUCAGACCUUUGGGGGCUUGCGUGUUUCUCCUCUUACUCCCUGGUAAGCCCUGCCUUGAACUUCAGGCUGCCUGGCUUGGAUCCUGAUGCUGCUUUGCUGACACAAUCCAUUCUCCCAGGGAACACCCAGAGUUCCACUCCAGCCCUGGCAACGCUGCAGCAGAGGUAGCCUCAUUAGCUCCACAUUUGCCCUGCCUCACCUCUCCCCCUCUUCCCUAGAGGCUCUAGUGCUGAGGUUCCACCAGGUUUCAUCCCUAAACCCAUCCCAAGUCAAAC